UACGUAGGGUGCGAGCGUUAAUCGGAAUUACUGGGCGUAAAGCGUGCGCAGGCGGUUUUGUAAGCCAGAUGUGAAAGCCCCGGGCUUAACCUGGGAAUGGCAUUUGGGACUGCAAGGCUGGAGUGUGGCAGAGGAGACUGGAAUUCCUGGUGUAGCAGUGAAAUGCGUAGAUAUCAGGAGGAAUACCGAUGGCGAAGGCAGGUCUCUGGGCUGACACUGACGCUCAUGCACGAAAGCGUGGGGAGCAACGAGGAUACGAAACCG
rnacentral:rRNA from 1 species